rnacentral:rRNA from 1 species
UGGGCAACCUGCCCCUCUCUCUGGGAUAACCCCCGGGGAAACCGGAGCUAAUACCGGAUACUCCGGCUGGAUCGCAUGGUCCGGCCGGGAAAGGUCCGCCGGAGAGGGAUGGGCCCGCGGCCUAUCAGCUUGUUGGUGGGGUCAUGGCUCACCAAGGCGACGACGGGUAGCUGGUCUGAGAGGACGACCAGCCCACACUGGAACUGAGAUACGGUCCAGACUCCGUACGGGAGGCA